GUUCUGCCUAUCGCUAGUUUUAUCCCUGCCCUGCCCACACAGCAACAUUCACAGCUAAUGGGAAGAAUGCAAAGUGACCUUGCUGUUUGCUUUGUUAAGAAAGAGCCUUGCUUUUAUUACCAGCUAAUCAAAUGAUGCCCAAAGGAUAAGAAGCAAAAUGUUUGUUUUUGAAAAAAAGUUAGUGUUUGUGUUCAAAAAAAAAAACUACAUAAAGAUUCCUGUUAACCAGCCAUUAGUAAGGAAGAGUUUGCUGCCCAUUAGACUAUCAAGCUUUUUGUCCAUCGUUCUCAACAACAGAUGUAGUAAAACAGGUGAUUGCAGCAGAAUUUGGAAUGAACAUACCAGCAUGGCUCAAAGAGUUCAUAAGGAAAGGAAGAACAAACACUUAUCAAGUUGAGUAUAGAUACUGAUAUUUUUACUUGAAAUACAUGUGAUAUUGAUGAAAUCUGGUAAGAACUGGUGCCCUGGGACUCUGGCUCUUCUAGGAUGGGACUCACUCUUUACCUUCCAGCAGCAGAGUUAAGGGGUUGAGCAUAGUUCCACUAGUAAGCUUCAGAGUGGACCAGGCAGGUCAGACAAAGAAGAACUGCAGCAUUCUGUCAAAAAAGGUCCAUGUCCAAGGCAGCUGGAAAAACAAAUGUUAGUAACUGGUAGGUCUUUGACUAUCUCUACCCAUAUGUUAAAAUUACUCGCCUUGUAGCUUCAAGAGAUGAUAACUUUGACAGCAGCACUCACUUCCAUCCCUGACACUCCGGACUGCUCCACAUGCCUUUUAAACAGCUGCAGAGCCUGGACUGUGUGCUCAGUAACAAAGCCUCUUCUGAAUGGGGCAUUUUGAUGCCACUGGUCCUUUGUGGGUGACUUUUAAAGAAACGGGCUUAACAAGGAACCUAAUGGUGAUGUAACAGGG
rnacentral:lncRNA from 1 species